AAGCGCUUGAGGUCAGUCGCAUCUGUCAGGACUCAGCCAGGCUUCUGCCUGGUGUACUUCCUGGCCGGUGGGUCAGCGUCAGUUUUGACCGAGGGAGAAAGGCUUGGGGAAUGUGGCUGUCUUCGGGCAGUGUUAUAGCCCCUUGUUGUAUGUCUCGGUUGGGACUGAGGAUCGCAGCACGCCUUAUGGCCGGGGUUCGCGCCCUCGGUACGUGCUUAGGAUGCUGGCAUAAUGGCCUUAAGCG
rnacentral:rRNA from 1 species